rnacentral:tRNA from 1 species
GGGCGAUUAGCUCAGGUGGAAAGAGCGCCGGCCUCCGGAGCCGGAGGUCGGGGGUUCGAGUCCCCCAUCGCCCUCCA